UCGGACUGUAGGCUGCAACUCGCCUACACGAAGUCGGAAUCGCUAGUAAUCGCGGAUCAGCAUGCCGCGGUGAAUACGUUCCCGGGCCUUGUACACACCGCCCGUNACACCAUGGGAGUUUGUAACGCCCAAAGUCGGUGGCCUAACCUUUAUGGAGGGAGCCGCCUAAGGCGGGACAGAUGACUGGGGUGAAGUCGUAACAAGGUACC
rnacentral:rRNA from 1 species